GACGAACGCUGGCGGCGUGCUUAACACAUGCAAGUCGAACGGAAAGGCCCUGCUUUUGUGGGGUGCUCGAGUGGCGAACGGGUGAGUAACACGUGAGUAACCUGCCCUUGACUUUGGGAUAACUUCAGGAAACUGGGGCUAAUACCGGAUAGGAGCUCCUGCUGCAUGGUGGGGGUUGGAAAGUUUCGGCGGUUGGGGAUGGACUCGCGGCUUAUCAGCUUGUUGGUGGGGUAGUGGCUUACCAAGGCUUUGACGGGUAGCCGGCCUGAGAGGGUGACCGGCCACAUGGGGACUGAGAUACGGCCCAGACUCCUACGGGAGGCAGCAGUGGGGAAUAUUGCACAAUGGGCGGAAGCCUGAUGCAGCAACGCCGCGUGCGGGAUGACGGCCUUCGGGUUGUAAACCGCUUUCGCCUGUGACGAAGCGUGAGUGACGGUAAUGGGUAAAGAAGCGCCGGCUAACUACGUG
rnacentral:rRNA from 1 species